CGUUGAUCGAUUGUUACCGAUAGAUCCCGAUAACUCCCGUUGGGGCGGCGUUGCCACUUGGUGACCCUGGUAUUUCCGUAGUGUGACCCGUCAUGUGCUGCUUUUUCCGAUGUUUUUGCCCAUCGAUUGACACUAUCGAGUGCCGAUCGAUCGCCUUGUGAUCGAGGCGCCCCCUUCCCUAAGCACAUGGUGACUCCGCAAAUGUUGACGACAGAAGGAAUUUUAGCUUAGGACUCUCUUCGGACCCCCCCCCCCCCCUCGACGGACCCCGAUGCCGCGGAUGACUGCUUUCUCUUCGGGAUUUCGCCUUCGGCAUACACAUGGCCUCGACAUGGACCCCCUUUUCCUGGAGGAGGACCGGCACUCGCGGAAGGACUCCUUUUCUGGCCGCCCUUCGACCCACACAUUUCGCCCAUAUGAAAUUCUUUUGACAUGCUGUAAAUCCUAUGCCAAAAUAUACCCUAUGUGUUGUGCGCGUUCGUGUGAUCCGUCCCUUUAAAUAA